GACGAACGCUGGCGGCGUGCCUAAUACAUGCAAGUAGAACGCACAGUUUAUACCGUAGCUUGCUACACCAUAGACUGUGAGUUGCGAACGGGUGAGUAACGCGUAGGUAACCUGCCUGGUAGCGGGGGAUAACUAUUGGAAACGAUAGCUAAUACCGCAUAAUAUUAAUUAUUGCAUGAUAAUUGAUUGAAAGAUGCAACUGCAUCACUACCAGAUGGACCUGCGUUGUAUUAGCUAGUAGGUGAGGUAACGGCUCACCUAGGCGACGAUACAUAGCCGACCUGAGAGGGGGAUCGGCCACACUGGGACUGAGACAUGGCCCAGACUCCUACGGGAGGCAGCAGUAGGGAAUCUUCGGCAAUAGACGAAAGUCUGACCGAGCAACGCCGCGUGAGUGAAGAAGGUUUUCGGAUCGUAAAGCUCUGUUGUAAGAGAAGAACGGGUGUGAGAGUGGAAAGUUCACACUGUGACGGUAUCUUACCAGAAAGGGACGGCUAACUACGUG
rnacentral:rRNA from 1 species